UACAGAGGUCUCAAGCGUUGUUCGGAAUCACUGGGCGUAAAGGGUGCGUAGGCGGCGAGGAAAGUCAGAUGUGAAAUCUCCGGGCUUAACCCGGAAAGGUCAGCCGAUACUGCGGGGCUAGAGUGCAGAAGGGGCAACUGGAAUUCUCGGUGUAGCGGUGAAAUGCGUAGAUAUCGAGAGGAACACCUGCGGCGAAGGCGGGUUGCUGGGCUGACACUGACGCUGAGGCGCGAAAGCUAGGGGAGCGAACGGG
rnacentral:rRNA from 1 species